ensembl:snRNA U6 U6 spliceosomal RNA
GUGCUCGCUUCGCAGCACAUAUACUAAAAAUUGGAAUGAUACAGAGAAGAUUAGCAUGGCCCCUGCGUAAGGAUGACAUGCCAAUCCAUUAAGCGUUCCAUAUAUUU